CCUCUUGAGAUUUUAUCUGUUCCUAUUUGAUGUCCCUGACGGUGUAUAACUCCCGCUUCAGUUUUGAGCUUUCUUGGGGAAGAAAACACAUGCACAAAUCCUGGUGUAAGGAAUAUUUUAAGCAUAUAUCUUCAAUAUCAUUCAUCCAGGACCGAGGUGCUACACAUGAAACUUGUAACCAGUUACUACAGGCGAAAGCAAAUCCAUGUCUUCAGGCUGGUGUCAUCAGGGAGAGAAGCUUUGGUUUCCACAUAAGGAUAUAAGAUCAUUGAUGUAAAACAAGUGAGUUUCACUUUAUACCCAGGACAUGUAACCUCUCAAAUUGAGAGAAUGGAUUGGAGAGAUAUUGUUGACCAUGUUUUCCCCUGUAUCUCACCUUCCCCUCUCCAAGACUUCCUUGUCAGUUACCCAUAUUGAUAUCAGUUUAUCCACAUCCAUGCUUUCAAGUUUAAACAAAGAAACUAGGCAAAGGCAGCUAUGUAUUCGCUAGGAUUAGGGAGGAGAAGAUAAUGAACCACUGGAUAGUGAGAAGAAAGAGAGGUGGAGAAAGUGAGAGACCCCAGUAACAGAGGACAGGGACACAUUGCUAAGGAUAGGGACACAUUCACUGUAAUAUAGAAGGCCAUGCUUAUAUGUAAAAUAUGCAGUAAUUGUAUAUAUAUGUACAAAAGUGAUGACACACAUAUGCACAUAAACAAAACACAAUUACUGUCUAUGUUUCUUUAUUUGUGACCUAAUGUUUUAUGUUGUUUGUAACUGAAAAAAAAAUUCCC
rnacentral:lncRNA from 1 species